rnacentral:rRNA from 1 species
AGAAUCAACGCUGGCGGCGUGCCUAACACAUGCAAGUCGAACGAGAAAGUGGUAGCAAUACCAUGAGUAAAGUGGCGCACGGGUGAGUAACACGUGACUAACCUACCCUGGAGUGGGGAUAACUGAGGGAAACCUUAGCUAAUACCGCAUAACACCUACGGGUCAAAGGAGCAAUUCGCUUCAGGAGGGGUCGCGGCAGAUUAGCUAGUUGGCGGGGUAAUGGCCCACCAAGGCAGUGAUCUGUA